rnacentral:rRNA from 1 species
CCUACGGGAGGCAGCAGUGAGGAAUAUUGGUCAAUGGACGAGAGUCUGAACCAGCCAAGUAGCGUGAAGGAUGACUGCCCUAUGGGUUGUAAACUUCUUUUAUAUGGGAAUAAAACGUUCCACGUGUGGGAUUUUGUAUGUACCAUAUGAAUAAGGAUCGGCUAACUCCGUGCCAGCAGCCGCGGUAAUACGGAGGAUCCGAGCGUUAUACGGAUUUAUUGGGUUUAAAGGGAGCGUAGGUGGUUUGUUAAGUCAGUUGUGAAAUGUUGCGGCUCAACCGUAAAAUUGCAGUUGAAACUGGCAGUCUUGAGUACAGUAGAGGUGGGCGGAAUUCGUGGUGUAGCGGUGAAAUGCUUAGAUAUCACGAAGAACUCCGAUUGCGAAGGCAGUUCACUGGACUGCAACUGACACUGAGGCUCGAAAGUGUGGGUAUCAAACAGGAUUAGAUACCCUUGUAGUC